CUAAACUUUCCUGCCAGGCUGGGCAAUACCGGGCUCCGGAGUGUAUUGACAACCCCCCUGUAUUAUUGGAAUUUCUGAUUCUUUUUUAAAAAGGAUAAUAAUGCGUACUGGGAUGCCACCCGUGCCUUCAUGAUCCUCUCCCUGCUGGCCUGCUUCAUUGGCAUCGUGAUCGGCGUCAUGGCUUUCAUACGCUCCUCCUCCUUCAGUGGGUUUGACAAGACGUUUGCUGGCCGGUGUCCUCUUCAUCUAACCACUAGGCAGGUAGCCAAGUGGUUAGAGUGUUGGAUUUAGUGACCAAAAGGUUGUGAGAUCGAAUCCCUGAACUGACAAGAUAAAAAUCUGUCGUUCUGCCUGAGCAAGGCAGUUAUCCCACUCUUCCUAGGCCAAAUUAGAGUUUGUUCUUAACUGACAUGAGAUUUGAAUAUGUAGGGUGGGAGCAGUCUCUAUGUUAGUGAUGGUUGUUUAACAGUCUGAUGGCCUUGAGAUAGCUGUUUUUCAGUCUCUCGGUCCAAGCUUUGAUGCACCUGUACUGACCUCGCCUUCUGGACGAUAAUGGGGUGAACAGGCAGUGGCUCGGGUGGUUGUUGUCCUUGAUCUUUUUGGCGAGAAACGCCAACUCCUGCUACUUUUACAUUUAAAAAAACAAAAAAACAGUUGAGACCAGGGUUUAGGCACCCAUGUAAUUUCCUGUUUACCUGACCUCUAUUGAAUAAGAGUUAAUUAAAUUGUCUGUGUCUUUCUAUUGAGUGGUAUUCAUCGGUCUGAUAAGAAUAUAAACCACAGUUAAGAUUAUGUUCAGUUAUAAGUUAGAACAUUUCUUUAAAGCUGCAUUGUAACUUUUUGGGUGACCAGACCAAAUUCACAUAGAAAUGUAAGUAAUAGAUCAGCACAUCUAAGCGGAAAAUUUUAUAUUUGCACCCUUUCUAUGCUUCCCAUUCUUAAGUUUAAUUUUUGCAUAUUUUACAUUUCAGUUUUGUACACCAGCUUUAAACAGCUAAGUAUACAAUAUUUUUGGUUAUGUACAUAUAUUUCAGCUGUUUAGAUGGUACAAUGAUUCUCUCUACACACUAUAUGUGCUUUUUUUUGUCACAACUGAAAUUAGGCAAACUACUAUAAUUUUAGCAACCAGGAAAUGGCAAGUGAUUUCUGCAUAGCACAGCUUUAACAUCUAAAUGAUAAACCAUGAUGGUCAUCAAGACUGUCAUAGGUGUCAAAAUUAAAGGAGGAUCUGGAAGAGUGUGAUUUUUUUUAAUCGUUUUUUUAAGCCAACAGUGCAGUACAAAGGCAAAAACAUUUUGCAGUCACAGAAUUCCACUUGUGAAAAACAUGCUCUGUAUACAGUAGUAACCAUUCACUGGUUGAACUGAAAACGUUUAACAAUAGGUAGAACAGUGCCCAUGAAAAAUAUUAAAUUGAUUGGUUGCUUUCAGCAUAAAAAGAUGAAUGACCAAAACAAACAUAAGUAGUCUAUGCAGAUUGUGAAAAUAAAGUUUCAGACCAUUCCAAGCUAUAGAAUGUGGACCACUAUUUAGCCAUAUCCAAUCAGGAGUAAAAGUAUGCUCUGUAUGGUUUAGUCGACUUCCUCAAUGGUUGGUCCAGAG